GAUGAACGCUGGCGGCGUGCCUAAUACAUGCUUGUCGAGCGAACAGACGAGGAGCUUGCUCCUUUGACGUUAGCGGCGGACGGGUGAGUAACACGUGGGUAACCUACCUAUAAGACUGGGAUAACUUCGGGAAACCGGAGCUAAUACCGGAUAAUAUUUCGAACCGCAUGGUUCGAUAGUGAAAGAUGGCUUUGCUAUCACUUAUAGAUGGACCUGCGCCGUAUUAGCUAGUUGGUAAGGUAACGGCUUACCAAGGCAACGAUACGUAGCCGACCUGAGAGGGUGAUCGGCCACACUGGAACUGAGACACGGUCCAGACUCCUACGGGAGGCAGCAGUAGGGAAUCUUCCGCAAUGGGCGAAAGCCUGACGGAGCAACGCCGCGUGAGUGAUGAAGGUCUUCGGAUCGUAAAACUCUGUUAUUAGGGAAGAAUAAACGUGUAAGUAACUGUGCACGUCUUGACGGUACCUAAUCAGAAAGCCACGGCUAACUACGUGCCAGCAGCCGCGGUAAUACGUAGGUGGCAAGCGUUAUCCGGAAUUAUUGGGCGUAAAGCGCGCGUAGGCGGUUUUUUAAGUCUGAUGUGAAAGCCCACGGCUCAACCGUGGAGGGUCAUUGGAAACUGGAAAACUUGAGUGCAGAAGAGGAAAGUGGAAUUCCAUGUGUAGCGGUGAAAUGCGCAGAGAUAUGGAGGAACACCAGUGGCGAAGGCGACUUUCUGGUCUGUAACUGACGCUGAUGUGCGAAAGCGUGGGGAUCAAACAGGAUUAGAUACCCUGGUAGUCCACGCCGUAAACGAUGAGUGCUAAGUGUUAGGGGGUUUCCGCCCCUUAGUGCUGCAGCUAACGCAUUAAGCACUCCGCCUGGGGAGUACGACCGCAAGGUUGAAACUCAAAGGAAUUGACGGGGACCCGCACAAGCGGUGGAGCAUGUGGUUUAAUUCGAAGCAACGCGAAGAACCUUACCAAAUCUUGACAUCCUUUGACCCUUCUAGAGAUAGAAGUUUCCCCUUCGGGGGACAAAGUGACAGGUGGUGCAUGGUUGUCGUCAGCUCGUGUCGUGAGAUGUUGGGUUAAGUCCCGCAACGAGCGCAACCCUUAAGCUUAGUUGCCAUCAUUAAGUUGGGCACUCUAAGUUGACUGCCGGUGACAAACCGGAGGAAGGUGGGGAUGACGUCAAAUCAUCAUGCCCCUUAUGAUUUGGGCUACACACGUGCUACAAUGGACAAUACAAAGGGCAGCGAAACCGCGAGGUCAAGCAAAUCCCAUAAAGUUGUUCUCAGUUCGGAUUGUAGUCUGCAACUCGACUACAUGAAGCUGGAAUCGCUAGUAAUCGUAGAUCAGCAUGCUACGGUGAAUACGUUCCCGGGUCU
rnacentral:rRNA from 1 species